rnacentral:rRNA from 1 species
AGGUGGAGCAUGUGGUUUAAUUCGAAGAUACACGAGGAACCUUACCUGGCCUUGACAUGGUAGGAACCUUAAGAGAUUAGGGGGUGCUAGCUUGCUAGAACCUACACACAGGUGCUGCACGGCUGUCGUCAGCUCGUGUCGUGAGAUGUUGGGUUAAGUCCCGCAACGAGCGCAACCCUCGUCCUUAGUUGCUAACAGUUCGGCUGAGCACUCUAGGGAGACUGCCUUCGCAAGGAGGAGGAAGGUGAGGACGACGUCAAGUCAUCAUGGCCCUUACGGCCAGGGCUACACACGUGCUACAAUGGGGCGUACAGAGAGCUGCGAUACCGCGAGGUGGAGCCAAUCUCUUAAAGCGUCUCUCAGUUCGGAUUGUUCUCUGCAACUCGAGAACAUGAAGCUGGAAUCACUAGUAAUCGCAGAUCAGCUAUGCUGCGGUGAAUACGUUCCCGGGUCUU